rnacentral:rRNA from 1 species
UACGUAGGGGGCAAGCGUUGUCCGGAAUCAUUGGGCGUAAAGAGCGUGUAGGCGGCCCGGUAAGUCCGCUGUGAAAGUCCAGGGCUCAACCCUGGGAUGCCGGUGGAUACUGUCGGGCUCGAGUCCGGAAGAGGAGUGUGGAAUUCCUGGUGUAGCGGUGAAAAUGCGCAGAUAUCAGGAGGAACACCAAUGGCGAAGGCAGCACUCUGGGACGUGACUGACGCUGAGACGCGAAAGCGUGGGAGCAACAGG